CACGUAGGGCGCAAGCGUUGUCCGGAAUUAUUGGGCGUAAAGAGCUCGUAGGCGGUCUGUUGCGUCCGCUGUGAAAACUCGGGGCUUAACCCCGAGCCUGCAGUGGAUACGGGCAGACUAGAGGUAGGUAGGGGAGAAUGGAAUUCCCGGUGUAGCGGUGAAAUGCGCAGAUAUCGGGAGGAAUACCGGUGGCGAAGGCGGCAUCCUGGACCGGCAUUGACGCUGAGUGAGCGAAAGCCAGGGGAGCAAAGCGGG
rnacentral:rRNA from 1 species